AGCUGGAAUCGCUAGUAAUCGCGAAUCAGCAUGUCGCGGUGAAUACGUUCCCGGGUCUUGUACACACCGCCCGUCACACCAUGGGAGUUGGCAACGCCCGAAGCCAGUGACCCAACCCUUAAGGGAGGGAGCUGUCGAAGGCGGGGCCGGUAACUGGGGUGAAGUCGUAACAAGGUAGC
rnacentral:rRNA from 1 species